rnacentral:tRNA from 1 species
GAGGAUGUGGCUUAGUGGCAGAGUGCUUGCCUAGCAUGCAUGAAGCCCUGGGUUCCAUUCCCUGGUACCACA